GAAGUGUUGUUUUUACAGUCAGGCCGAGAGGGACGAACGGUAGAAUGGAUGGAGAGAUGGAAAAUCUUGAAAGUGUCCUAUUCAGCUACAUAAGAGUCAAUACUACAUCGUGGCUUGCCAACCACAAGGCUAGGGGCAGGCCUGAACAGGGCUUCGAAACCCUUUAUGAACUGGGCACAAGUAAUGCAAUCGAAGGCCUGUAAAGUUGGAGAGGAGCAGGAAGAAGGACUCUGAACGAAGCAGCUCCCAACAAGCACUCACACACUGAGGCAAGGUGUCCAGACAGGCUGUUUCAUAGCAUCUAAGUGCAUAAAAAUGAAACAAUCACACACAAAAAGGCAAAUAAUCUGUGAAAAGCAUAGAUCAUGUGCAGAGCAACCCCCACCUCUUAUUGGCAGGGCCUUUCCUCGUCCACUGAAUCUGCGCGAGCUUUAGGGCAUCACUCACCUGGCUGAAUUUCUCCUUCUGAUAACACAUUCAUGCACACAAUCAGGAAGAGGAACAUAACAAAAGUUGUACAAUUUUCUGGAAAAUAUGCCUUGGAAGUUAAUAAAUCAUCAUGUUUGACAAAGGAAUGGCUACCAAAUGUGUUACUUUUAUAGGUACCGACCAAAGUCUGUCGGCACUACCGGGUGCCGAUUGACGUAAAAUCAAACUAAUGGACAAUAUUUCGAUACAUUGGUUGC